GAUGAACGCUGGCGGCGUGGAUAAGGCAUGCAAGUCGAGCGCUUAGACUUCGGUCUAGGAGCGGCAAACGGGUUAGUAACACGUAGGAACGUACCCCACUCACAGGGAUAAUUUCGAGAAAUCGGAACUAAUACCUGAUAGUCUCUUCGGAGUAAAGGUUUUCAAUUUAUUGGAUUCCGGAAUGGGAGCGGCCUGCGUCCUAUCAGCUUGUUGGUGAGGUAAUGGCUCACCAAGGCUAUGACGGGUAGGGGACGUGAGAGCGUGACCCCCAACAUUGGCACUGAGACACUGGCCAAACACCUACGGGUGGCUGCAGUCGAGAAUAUUUGACAAUGCACGAAAGUGUGAUCAAGCGACGCCGCGUGCGGGAUGACGGCCUUCGGGUUGUAACCGCUUUUAUCAGGGAAAAAUUUCGAUGAUGGUACCUGAUGAAUAAGGAGUUGCUAACUCCGUG
rnacentral:rRNA from 1 species